AGUCUUGUAUUCAUUAAUGAUAUAAAAUUGCAAAUUUUAAGGAGUAAGAUUUAAUUACUAAGGCUU
rnacentral:tRNA from 1 species